rnacentral:rRNA from 1 species
CCUACGGGAGGCAGCAGUGAGGAAUAUUGGUCAAUGGGCGCGAGCCUGAACCAGCCAAGUAGCGUGAAGGAUGACUGCCCUACGGGUUGUAAACUCCUUUUAUAAAGGAAUAAAGUGAGGCACGUGUGCCUUUUUGUAUGUACUUUAUGAAUAAGGAUCGGCUAACUCCGUGCCAGCAGCCGCGGUAAUCCGGAGGAUCCAAGCGUUAUCCGGAUGUAUUGGGUUUAAAGGGAGCGUAGAUGGGUUGUUAAGUCAGUUGUGAAAGUUUGCGGAUCAACCGUAAAAUUGCAAUUGAUACUGGCAGUCUUCAGUACAGUUGAGGUAGGCGGAAUUCGUGGUGUAGCGGUGAAAUGCUUAGAGAUCACGAAGAACGCCGAUUGAGAAGGCAGCUUACUAAACUGCCACUGACAUUGAUGCUCGAAAGUGUGGGUAUCAAACAGGAUUAGAUACCCCAGUAGUC